UCGUAACAAGGUUUCCGUAGGUGAACCUGCGGAAGGAUCAUUACUGAGUGCGGGCUGCCUCCGGGCGCCCAACCUCCCACCCGUGAAUACCUAACACUGUUGCUUCGGCGGGGAACCCCCUCGGGGGCGAGCCGCCGGGGACUACUGAACUUCAUGCCUGAGAGUGAUGCAGUCUGAGUCUGAAUAUAAAAUCAGUCAAAACUUUCAACAAUGGAUCUCUUGGUUCCGGCAUCGAUGAAGAACGCAGCGAACUGCGAUAAGUAAUGUGAAUUGCAGAAUUCAGUGAAUCAUCGAGUCUUUGAACGCACAUUGCGCCCCCUGGCAUUCCGGGGGGCAUGCCUGUCCGAGCGUCAUUGCUGCCCAUCAAGCCCGGCUUGUGUGUUGGGUCGUCGUCCCCCCCGGGGGACGGGCCCGAAAGGCAGCGGCGGCACCGUGUCCGGUCCUCGAGCGUAUGGGGCUUUGUCACCCGCUCGACUAGGGCCGGCCGGGCGCCAGCCGACGUCUCCAACCAUUUUUCUUCAGGUUGACCUCGGAUCAGGUAGGGAUACCCGCUGAACUUAAGCAUAUCA
rnacentral:misc_RNA from 1 species